CGGGUUGGUGCGGGCCGGGCGGGGGGGGUAGACGGAAGGGGCAGGCGUUGUUUGGAAUUAUGCGGCGGAAAGGGGUGGUGGGCGGCUUCGCAGGUCUGUGGUGAAAGCAUACAGCUCAACUGGAUUAAGCCACGGAAACGGCGGAGCUUGAGGCUGGGAGGGGCUGGUGGAAUUCCCUGUGUAGCGGUGAAAUGCGUAGAGAUGGGGGAGAACACUCGUGGCGAAGGCGGCCAGCUGGACCAGUUCUGACGCUGAGACGCGAAAGCGUGGGGAGCAAACAGGAUUAGAUACCCGUGUAGUC
rnacentral:rRNA from 1 species